rnacentral:rRNA from 1 species
GACGAACGCUGGCGGCGUGCUUAACACAUGCAAGUCGAACGGAAAGGCCCUGCUUUUGUGGGGUGCUCGAGUGGCGAACGGGUGAGUAACACGUGAGUAACCUGCCCUUGACUUUGGGAUAACUUCAGGAAACUGGGGCUAAUACCGGAUAGGAGCUCCUGCUGCAUGGUGGGGGUUGGAAAGUUUCUGCGGUUGGGGAUGGACUCGCGGCUUAUCAGCUUGUUGGUGGGGUAGUGGCUUACCAAGGCUUUGACGGGUAGCCGGCCUGAGAGGGUGACCGGCCACAUUGGGAAUGAGAUACGGCACAGACUCCUACGGGAGGCAGCAGUGGGGAAUAAUGCACCAUGGGCGGAAGCCUGAUGCAGCAACGCCGCGUGCGGGAUGACGGCCUUCGGGUUGUAAACCGCUUUCGCCUGUGACGAAGCGUGAGUGACGGUAAUGGGUAAAGAAGCACCGGCUAACUACGUG